CCACAGGUUUGCUGAGCAUGGUCUCUGUUCCUGGCAUGGAUUGGCUAGGGCCAAACACCAUUUACUCAGUGCCGGCUGCCAUUAGGAACUGCUUGACGUCCUGCCCGGUCUCGGCUAGUCCCAGAGACAGUCCUCUCUUCACAUUGCCGCCGCUGGUUCCCUCACAGGUUAUGGCUUCGGACUCGGACUACGGCUGCUGGUCUUUGAUCCUCUGCAGCCUCUAUUGGAGAUGUGAGGAUGACCUGGAUGAAGUUCUUCCUCAUCUCCAUGCCCAUCACCGACAGCCGAGUCUUCACCAGAUCACCAGCUCACUGGUCGCUGGACUAGGCUCUGUGACCCCUGGUUGGCCUGCUGGGAACUCAAGUGUUCCUGAACCACAUUCUGCAGUGAUCGCAUGCAGACAGAGAUGAGGUGGUCCAUGUAGCUAGCGUUGUAGCUGCAGGCCGACGUCAGGAUAAUCAGAGCUCCAAACAGCUGGUGGCUGGGGAGACUCCAACUCUCCUUGUACUUGGAGGCAAUGCUGAACGGCUCAGUGGGGAGAUGAUCAUGAGGCGGGACAGCAGGCAGUGAACGGAUCGCAGCCCUCAGUGUUACAACCCUCUGGACACGUCCCAUAAAACUAAGCUAAUGUGUUUAGGUGACCAAACAUUCCCAAAAAUAUGAAAUGGUUAAUAAAAAUGAGUAAAACAUUU